rnacentral:rRNA from 1 species
AACGUAGGAGACAAACGUUAUCCGGAGUUACUGGGCGUAAAGGGCGUGUAGGCGGUUAGUUAAGUCUGGCGUGAAAGCUCUCGGCUAAACCGGGAGAGGUCGUUGGAUACUGGCUGACUAGAGGACGGUAGAGGCGUGUGGAAUUCCGGGUGUAGUGGUGAAAUGCGUAGAGAUCCGGAGGAACACCAGUGGCGAAGGCGACACGCUGGGCCGUACCUGACGCUAAAGCGCGACAGCAUGGGGAGCAAACGGGG